rnacentral:rRNA from 1 species
GAUGAACGCCGGCGGCGUGCCUAAUACAUGCAAGUCGAGCGAACGGACGAGAAGCUUGCUUCUCUGAUGUUAGCGGCGGACGGGUGAGUAACACGUGGAUAACCUACCUAUAAGACUGGGAUAACUUCGGGAAACCGGAGCUAAUACCGGAUAAUAUUUUGAACCGCAUGGUUCAAAAGUGAAAGACGGUCUUGCUGUCACUUAUAGAUGGAUCCGCGCUGCAUUAGCUAGUUGGUAAGGUAACGGCUUACCAAGGCAACGAUGCAUAGCCGACCUGAGAGGGUGAUCGGCCACACUGGAACUGAGGCACGGUCCAGACUCCUACGGGAGGCAGCAGUAGGGAAUCUUCCGCAAUGGGCGAAAGCCUGACGGAGCAACGCCGCGUGAGUGAUGAAGGUCUUCGGAUCGUAAAACUCUGUUAUUAGGGAAGAACAUAUGUGUAAGUAACUGUGCACAUCUUGACGGUACCUAAUCAGAAAGCCACGGCUAACUACGUG